rnacentral:lncRNA from 1 species
UAAAGAAGCUGGACUGCGAGAGAGAGGAGAGCACCACAGACCUGCCAAAGGCUUUCCACGUUUGUGCAGCAAUCCUCGAGUGUUUAGAGAAGAGGAAGAUAUCCUGGCUGGCACUCUUUCAGUUGACAGAGAGUGACCUCAGGCUGGGGCGGCUCCUCCUCCGUGUGGCCCCGGAUCAGCACACCAGGCUGCUGCCUUUCGCUUUUUACAGUCUUCUCUCCUACUUCCAUGAAGACGCGGCCAUCAGGGAAGAGGCCUUCCUGCAUGUUGCUGUGGACAUGUACUUGAAGCUGGUCCAGCUCUUCGUGGCUGGGGAUACAAGCACAGUUUCACCUCCAGCUGGCAGGAGCCUGGAGCUCAAGGGUCAGGGCAACCCCGUGGAACUGAUAACAAAAGCUCGUCUUUUUCUGCUGCAGUUAAUACCUCGGUGCCCGAAAAAGAGCUUCUCACACGUGGCAGA